rnacentral:rRNA from 1 species
AGAGUUUGAUCAUGGCUCAGAUUGAACGCUGGCGGCAUGCCUUACACAUGCAAGUCGAACGGUAACGCGGGGCAACCUGGCGACGAGUGGCGAACGGGUGAGUAAUACAUCGGAACGUGCCCAGUAGUGGGGGAUAGCCCGGCGAAAGCCGGAUUAAUACCGCAUACGACCUAUGGGUGAAAGCGGGGGAUCGCAAGACCUCGCGCUAUUGGAGCGGCCGAUGUCAGAUUAGCUAGUUGGUGGGGUAAAAGCCUACCAAGGCGACGAUCUGUAGCUGGUCUGAGAGGACGACCAGCCACACUGGGACUGAGACACGGCCCAGACUCCUACGGGAGGCAGCAGUGGGGAAUUUUGGACAAUGGGGGCAACCCUGAUCCAGCCAUGCCGCGUGCGGGAAGAAGGCCUUCGGGUUGUAAACCGCUUUUGUCAGGGAAGAAACGGUCUGCGCUAAUACCGCGGACUAAUGACGGUACCUGAAGAAUAAGCACCGGCUAACUACGUGCCAGCAGCCGCGGUAAUACGUAGGGUGCGAGCGUUAAUCGGAAUUACUGGGCGUAAAGCGUGCGCAGGCGGUUUGUUAAGAUAGGCGUGAAAUCCCCGGGCUCAACCUGGGAACUGCGUUUAUGACUGGCAGGCUAGAGUAUGGCAGAGGGGGGUGGAAUUCCACGUGUAGCAGUGAAAUGCGUAGAGAUGUGGAGGAACACCGAUGGCGAAGGCAGCCCCCUGGGCCAAUACUGACGCUCAUGCACGAAAGCGUGGGUAGCAAACAGGAUUAGAUACCCUGGUAGUCC